rnacentral:rRNA from 1 species
GAUGAACGCUGGCGGCGUCCCUAAUACAUGCAAGUCGAGCGAACAGACGAGGAGCUUGCUCCUCUGACGUUAGCGGCGGACGGGUGAGUAACACGUGGAUAACCUACCUAUAAGACUGGGAUAACUUCGGGAAACCGGAGCUAAUACCGGAUAAUAUAUUGAACCGCAUGGUUCAAUAGUGAAAGACGGUUUUGCUGUCACUUAUAGAUGGAUCCGCGCCGCAUUAGCUAGUUGGUAAGGUAACGGCUUACCAAGGCAACGAUGCGUAGCCGACCUGAGAGGGUGAUCGGCCACACUGGAACUGAGACACGGUCCAGACUCCUACGGGAGGCAGCAGUAGGGAAUCUUCCGCAAUGGGCGAAAGCUUGACGGAGCAACGCCGCGUGAGUGAUGAAGGUCUUCGGAUCGUAAAACUCUGUUAUUAGGGAAGAACAAAUGUGUAAGUAACUAUGCACGUCUUGACGGUACCUAAUCAGAAAGCCACGGCUAACUACGU